GAUGAACGCUGGCGGCGUGCCUAAUACAUGCAAGUCGAGCGAAUGGAUUGAGAGCUUGCUCUUAUGAAGUUAGCGGCGGACGGGUGAGUAACACGUGGGUAACCUGCCCAUAAGACUGGGAUAACUCCGGGAAACCGGGGCUAAUACCGGAUAACAUUUUGAACCGCAUGGUUCGAAAUUGAAAGGCGGCUUCGGCUGUCACUUAUGGAUGGACCCGGGUCGCAUUAGCUAGUUGGUGAGGUAACGGCUCACCAAGGCAACGAUGCGUAGCCGCCCUGAGAGGGUGAUCGGCCACACUGGGACUGAGACACGGCCCAGACUCCUACGGGAGGCAGGAGUAGGGAAUCUUCCGCAAUGGACGAAAGUCUGACGGAGCAACGCCGCGUGAGUGAUGAAGGCUUUCGGGUCGUAAAACUCUGUUGUUAGGGAAGAACAAGUGCUAGUUGAAUAAGCUGGCACCUUGACGGUACCUAACCAGAAAGCCACGGCUAACUACGUGCCAGCCGCCGCGGUAACAC
rnacentral:rRNA from 1 species